rnacentral:lncRNA from 10 species
GUCCCAGCCCUGCGCAGCCGCCCGCCAAGCCGCCAGAGGACCAGCCGAACGCCAAAGGCUAGGAGUGGACGAUUGCAGGAAGUUUCCAACUCGCCGACUUCGCCCCACUCCACUGGCUCCGGCUUGGCGGUCCCCGGCUUCGGGGUGCCCUCCGUCCCUCCCCCUCGCGUCGUCGCGUUCUCCCUUGGCAUAACCCCCCGCCGCGGGGCCGCAGACCCCCUAAGCGCUUCGUGCGCUCUCCGCGCCCUGCCCACCGGCCCCGACCCCUCCCCCGACCGGACGGGAGAGGUGGGAAGUUUGGGGGCACCCGCUGUGGGUGUCCCAUUUGCGGGGCUGGGCUCCGGGGAGCCGGCGCGCGGCGCCCGCUCCCUGCCCGCCAGCCGUUUGGGAGCUCAGGCGCGGGCAGCCGCUUUUGUUCCCGGGAAGGGCGGAGCUGCGUCCCGGGGAGACACGCGUUGCAGCCGGCAGCGUAGUUGCUCCCCGCUGGCCGGCCGCUCCGGGAGGGCCCCGCAGCGGAGGGUCGGGGCUGGGGCGGGCUGGGGAGGGGGCCCAGGGCUGGGGCCGGUUCGGCCUCCCGGGUGGCGCGCGGGCCGAGGAGCUAGGAGGACCGCCGCGCCGCUUGUCCUUUGGAUAAACCUUGGCGGUUCCUCCUCUGGUGUCCGUGGACCCCGCCGCGGCGUUCUCCAGGGCCGCGGACCUUUGCCCACCGGUUGCGCCCGCUGCCCCGGGCAGAAAGGACCCCCCUCCUCCCGGACCGAGCCCCGAGCCCCAUGGAGCAGGCAAGGGCCAGAGUCCCGGGGCCGAGGCCCGACCGGCGGACGCUCCGGGACCUUUUCCCGCCCCCGAGGGUGCAUGUCCGGCCGGGGCCGGGACUGGCUGGGAAACCGAGGCCAGAAGAGGUCGCAAUCCAGCGAGGAAUCGCAAAUCCUGGUUGGUCAUGGUGGAGACUGUAAAGCAAUCAUUCUCAAGGAGGGGCUUUUUCACGCAGUAUGCCUGGAGAGAGGCUGCACCACCACCGCGUUCCUCCCCGAUGAGUCCAGUGAGCCACGGCUGCGGGCUACGGUGUUGUGGUGCUCGGGUGUGUUGGAAGGAAAUGGUUCCCGAGGCAUGCCAGCUAGCACCUGACCUACAAGAUUCCAGCUGUUUAACUGCCAUCACAAAGGCUCAUGAUGUGUUGACAGUAUUUCUGCCUGCUGCUCUGAAAAUUCAAGGAAAUAAAUACCUGACAUUUAUUGAAUGCCAGAAGCUGUUCUAAGAACUUUCUAUGUAUUAUCUAUUUUAGUCAUUAUAAUAUCCUUAUGAAAUAGGCACUUUUAUCCCCAUUUUACAGAUGAAUAAAAUAAGGCACAGAAGGGUUAAGCAACUUUCACAGGUAGAAAGCUGCACAGCCAGGAUUUAAGCCCAAGCUCUUAACCACUGCACUACAUCAAUGCAGCAAAGGCUGAAUGAACCAGAGUAUUUGAUUUACUUAGCUCUUAUGCUGGAAAGAUGGUGAGGCUUUUGCUCAUGGUCUGUAUUCAAGCACAAAUACCAAAAUCAAGGACACCUUUGCAUUGGUGCUCCAUAGGAGGUUUCCUUUUUUGUUGUUUAGAGAGAAGGUCUUACUCUGUUGCCCUGGCUGGAGUGCAGUGGUGCGAUCACAGCUCACUGCAGCCUUGACCUCCAGAGCUCAAGCAAUCCUCCACCUCAGCCUCCUGAGUAGCUGGGACUAUAGGUGCGCACUUCCACACCCAGCUAAUUUUUAAUUUUUUUUUUUUUGUAGAGACCGUCUCCCUAUAUUGCCCAGGUUGGUCUAGAAUUCCUAGGGCUCAAGUGAUCCUCCCGCCUUGGCCUAUUGGGAUUACAGAUAUGAGCCAUGGCACCCAACCUCAGAAGAGGCGCUUUUCUUGAGUUCUGGAAGGGGAUAGGAAUUAAUGUUUUGUUUGUUUGUUUGUUUUUUACUCGUCACAGAAAAGGUUCAAAGAGUAAGAUAAGCAACGUCUCAUAAUGCUGUAGUCUAAUGGACAAGGGCCCUAGCCAUCUGUGCCUGGAUGACUCUUCCUCCCAAUUUUUAAGUGUCAAAAGAUAAUUUAGAAUCUGGCAUUCUGCAUUAGAAAUCUGAACCAGUGGAGCUGUGUGCUGAUUUUCAUCAGCUUAAGUUGUCUUUAUUGUCAGUGGCUUCCUUUCCCCACAGCAGCUUUAUGGAGGCACGUGCCCAGGCAUAUGAGGAGCUUCUGUCCUUUAGUGUAUGUACACCCACAAUGCUGCAGAGAAGAGAAUCAGCAUACUGUUGGGACACAGCAGGUACCACUGCCUUCUGAAGUUUCUAGAGGUGCUAUGCCUUCAUUGUUUUCCUGCACAUGAACAUUAACAUCCACAUCAGGAUCUGGAAACCUUUACAGAAGCUGAAGUUUUAAAAAGAAAAUGAAUGGGAUUUUAUUCAAGAUAAGGAAAGGAUAAGAGUGAAUCAUCAAAUGAAACCAUGAGGCCACUUCACAAAUAUUUUAUCAAAAAACUCACCUGAGAAAACUCAAAGAAUCACAGUAAUAAGCUGUCUAUGCCAUAUUUUUUUUUUCCUUUUUUGAAAAUGCCAAGAAGCUACUACUAAGAAUGUAUUCAAGAGACGGAAGUUCCAAGAUUCAUCACAGGGUCAGGUGGGCUCAACUUAGUUUCCUGGGCCCUCUAUAACACUUCAUGUUCAGAAUUGUCUCCAAAUAAAAGCAAUUUAAGGGAACAUUCAAUAUGGGUGUCUUUGCUGUGCUUGCAGUCUUAAUUCUGUGGACACUGAUAUUCUAUCAAUGGAAAAUUGAGCCUUUAGUGAACUUGAAUACCCUGUUCCCCAAUCACUGCCCAGAGAGCAGUUUCUGAGCAGCCAACAUGUCAGAGGCAGGAAAACAGCAGCUAAAAGGCAAAGGAGAAAAAUGGAAGACACCUGCCUUUACACGUGUAUUUUAAGCUAAAUAACCAUGAUAAAAUAUCACCAACACCCAUUUUUUGUAACUUCUUAAUUGUCCCACAUCAAAGAUAAGUAUGGACAACUGUAAUUGGUUCUUAUAUAUCCCUAAAUUCCUAAUUGAAAUCAAUUCCAAUAAAUCGUUGGUGCUCAGUAGAAAAAUGCAAAAUUUAAAUAUAUAUAUUCAGUAGAAGUUACCUUCAUAACUUGUGGGGCAUUAUCAAAAUAUAAUUGGAAACCCCUCUUUGUAACCAACUAACCAAAUGAUCUUUUCUUAAAGGCACAAAUUAAAAGGUGGCAAAACAACCAUAUAUUUAGUGUGUGGGAUCACAUUCUCCUAAAGAGCAUCAGGAAAUGUAGGUAGAAGUCAAUGUUGUAGCCUAGGUUAGAAGGCCCUGCUUGCUGGGAGUUAACUCUGGUUAUUGGAUUGUGGGGAGGUGUGGCAGGGAAGGUGGUCAGGGGAACACGGGCACUCCAGAAGCUCGGAGCAGCAGCUCAUCAGCUGUGAGGCACCGUCAGCAUCCUUGCGUCCUGUGUGGCUGUGAGGCACUGUCAGCAUCCUCGCGUCCUGUGCGGCUGUGAGGCACUGUCAGCAUCCUCGCGUCCUGUGCGGCUGUGAGGCACUGUCAGCAUCCUCGCGUCCUGUGCGGCUGUGAGGCACUGUCAGCAUCCUCGCGUCCUGUGCGGCUGUGAGGCACUGUCAGCAUCCUCGCGUCCUGUGCGGCUGUGAGGCACUGUCAGCAUCCUCGCGUCCUGUGCGGCUGUGAGGCACUGUCAGCAUCCUCGCGUCCUGUGUGGCUGUGAGGCACCGUCAGCAUCCUCGCGUCCUGUGCGGCUGUGAGGCACCGUCAGCAUCCUCGCGUCCUGUGUGGCUGUGAGGCACCGUCAGCAUCCUCGCGUCCUGUGUGGCUGUGAGGCACCGUCAGCAUCCUCGGUCCUGUGCGGCUGUGAGGCACCGUCAGCAUCCUCGCGUCCUGUGUGGCUGUGAGGCACCGUCAGCAUCCUCGGUCCUGUGCGGCUGUGAGGCACCGUCAGCAUCCUCGCGUCCUGUGUGGCUGUGAGGCACUGUCAGCAUCCUCGCGUCCUGUGUGGCUGUGAGGCACCGUCAGCAUCCUCGCGUCCUGUGUGGCUGUGAGGCACCGUCAGCAUCCUCGGUCCUGUGCGGCUGUGAGGCACUGUCAGCAUCCUCGCAUCCUGUGCAGCUGGGCCAGGACAAACUGGCUGAACUGCAGCUCUGCUUGCAGCUUGCUAGAAAUACAACUUGGUAACAACAGGAGAUUGUGGACACACUAUUUUUCGUUAGUUUAUUACAAAACUACAGAUACAAUACACAAAAUUCUAAUUCCGAAAUCCUUCUACAUUUUUU